rnacentral:rRNA from 1 species
UGGGGAAUAUUGGGCAAUGGGCGAAAGCCUGACCCAGCAACGCCGCGUGAAGGAAGAAGGUCUUCGGAUUGUAAACUUCCUUUAUGAGGGACGAAGGACGUGACGGUACCUCAUGAAUAAGCCACGGCUAACUACGUGCCAGCAGCCGCGGUAAUACGUAGGUGGCAAGCGUUAUCCGGAUUUACUGGGUGUAAAGGGCGCGUAGGCGGGGAUGCAAGUCAGAUGUGAAAUCUAUGGGCUUAACUCAUAAACUGCAUUUGAAACGGCAGCUCUUGAGUGCUGGAGAGGUAGACGGAAUUCCGUGUGUAGCGGUGAAAUGCGUAGAUAUAAGGAAGAACACCAGUGGCGAAGGCGGUCUACUGGACAGUAACUGUCGCUGAGGCGCGAGAGCGUGGGGAGCAAACA